CAGUCGCCGCGGGAAUACGAAGGGGGCUAGCGUUGCUCGGAAUCACUGGGCGUAAAGGGUGCGUAGGCGGGUCUUUAAGUCAGGGGUGAAAUCCUGGAGCUCAACUCCAGAACUGCCUUUGAUACUGAAGAUCUUGAGUUCGGGAGAGGUGAGUGGAACUGCGAGUGUAGAGGUGAAAUUCGUAGAUAUUCGCAAGAACACCAGUGGCGAAGGCGGCUCACUGGCCCGAUACUGACGCUGAGGCACGAAAGCGUGGGGAGCAAACAGGAUUAGAUACCCCGGUAGUCCCUGUCUCUUAUAC
rnacentral:rRNA from 1 species